rnacentral:rRNA from 1 species
CGCACGGGUGAGUAACACGUAUCCAACCUGCCGUCACUCUUGGCCAGCCUUCUGAAAGGAAGAUUAAUCCAGGAUGGCAUCAUGAGUUCACAUGUCCGCAUGAUUAAAGGUAUUUUCCGGUAGACGAUGGGGAUGCGUUCCAUUAGAUAGUAGGCGGGGUAACGGCCCACCUAGUCAACGAUGGAUAGGGGUUCUGAGAGGAAGGUCCCCCACAUUGGAACUGAGACACGGUCCAA